GGUGGAAAAGUUCUCUUGAGAAUUGCUUGCUCUCCUGAUAAAGCAUGCAGGAUUUGUACUCUAAGGGACAAAGCAGAAGUCCAAUCAAUCACUGAAAUCAGGAAAAAAAUGAAGAAAAUGCUUCAUUUCUCAUUUUCCAUUGAACUCGGGCAUUUGGGACAUGAUCAUCUUUCCAGUUCUCUUUUCUGGGGAAAUCCUCAUUAGAUAAAAAUAGCUACAGCACUCAAAUGACUUCAGUACUCUCAAGUGAAGAAAUUACUCUUGUAUAGGAACCAACUGGUUAUGCAAGGUUUGUUGGCCAUUUCAAGCCACCUGCUGUUGUGCAUGCUGGAGGCAGCUUUCAUCCAUCGUAAGCUACAAAGACAUUUGAACCCACUGAAGAUUUAU